UUCCUACGGGGGGCAGCAGUGAGGAAUAUUGGUCAAUGGGCGAGAGCCUGAACCAGCCAAGUCGCGUGAGGGAAGACGGUCCUAUGGAUUGUAAACCUCUUUUGCCGGGGAGCAAAAAGCGGUACGUGUACCGCAUCGAGAGUACCCGGAGAAAAAGCAUCGGCUAACUCCGUGCCAGCAGCCGCGGUAAUACGGAGGAUGCGAGCGUUAUCCGGAUUUAUUGGGUUUAAAGGGUGCGUAGGCGGAAUGCCAAGUCAGCGGUAAAAUCGCGGGGCUCAACCUCGCUCCGCCGUUGAAACUGGCGU
rnacentral:rRNA from 1 species